CACCUCUUGACGUUCAAACGUUAGUUUAUCCCUUCUGCUUCAUUUUCCUCAUUCAGGAAAACAACGUCCAAUUAUACAUGCCACCACAUCAAUGUGUUUAGACGGUGUACUCCCUUAAGCACACAUCCAGCACCACGUAAUGUCGAUAAAUAUUAACUGGGAUUUUAUGCCAUUUGCUCUUUUCCAGCAACUUUGGGAGGACAAAUUUCACCAAUUUGUGGUACUUGAAUGCCCUAGGCUUUCAUCCCCAAAAGCUAUUUCCUAAACUCCUUUCACCCUACUUUAUUUUCUGACUGGUCUGAGGCCGUAUGGAGCUUAUCCAGUAAACAAGUGUUGGCCUUUCUUGGAGAAUUGAAAACCAUUGUCUAGUCCACCUGUUUGGCGACAGGAUGAUAUUCCUGCUGUUUCAAACUCAAUGCUGAUUUCUCCGGUCAUAGUUGGCUUGUGAACAUACAUUCUACCCCCUGAAGAAUUGAAGACAUUGACGUAUGUUAUAGAUGCUAGUGUGCCUUUAUUUAAACACAGUAAUUUGUUGGUUCUGAGUGAGUGUGUGUAAGAAAAGACACAAUCAUUGAAGAUAAAAUUGGCCAGAAAUUACACUGUUUCUUUUUUCUCUACCUUUCCUUUUCUUGUUUCCAAAGCAAUAACUAAUCAAUGGGGGUUAGGGAGAAGGGAUAAAUUGCUCCUGUGUAGACAAGAAAAGAAAGGAUUCUACAAUCCUGCUUGCCAAUAACCACUGGUAGAGUGUGGAAUACAGUUCUAGAAUGUCUUACUGGAGAUUCUACAGUCCCAAACUUCUUAAAGCCUGGACUCUCUCCACACACACAAUUGGCUCCAAAACUCUUUUGCAUCAAAGCAGACCUGAAGUGAAGAGAAGGAUUUUCUGGGCCACCUCUGCUGGUGUGGAUGCUGUUGCUGGACCACUGUGAACACCAUGUCUUCAGUGAAUUGCAGAGUACUUGCUCCUCCAUGUCUUGGACCACAAGGGGAUUUUCCCUUUGCAGUCUCAGAAAGACAAAACAAAACAAAAGUAUCUAAGGGAGGGUUUUUCCAUAUGAGCUAGCCUACCACCCUAGGAACUGUUAUCAUAGAUGUGUUUUGGAGACAUUAAUUACUUGACGUCUCUCAUUUGCUUUUUUGGCCUCCCCCCCCCCCCAUUGGGAGGUUUGUUUAAGAGAGAAGAUAAGUGAGGAUGGGAGGUAAAUUAUUGUCCCGAAUUGAAUUGUUUCUAUAUUUCAUCCUCAGCUUUUCUGGGGAGUGAUUUCAAUAGUAACACUUAAGAGGAAGGGGGUAAUAAAUGAAACAUGCUUUCAAUUCA
rnacentral:lncRNA from 1 species